rnacentral:rRNA from 1 species
CUGCGGGUGGCAGCAGUGAGGAAUAUUGCACAAUGGGGGGAACCCUGAUGCAGCAACGCCGCGUGGAGGAUGACGCAUUUCGGUGUGUAAACUCCUUUUAUAUGUCAAGAAAAUGACGGUAGCAUAUGAAUAAGCACCGGCUAACUCCGUGCCAGCAGCCGCGGUAAUACGGAGGGUGCAAGCGUUACUCGGAAUCACUGGCGUAAAGGACGCGUAGGCGGGUUGGAAAGUCAGGUGUGAAAUCCUACAGCUUAACUGUAGAACUGCACUUGAAACUUCUAAUCUAGAGUAUGGGAGGGGGAGGUGGAAUUAGUGGUGUAGGGGUAAAAUCCGUAGAUAUCACUAGGAAUACCUAAAGCGAAGGCGAUCUCCUGGAACAUUACUGACGCUAAGGCGUGAAAGCGUGGGGAGCAAACAGGAUUAGAUACCCCCGUAGUC